CUUCUCUCCUCAGUGUCUUUAUAAGCUUCAGUGUCUCUUCUCCUCUCACUCCAACCCUGCUCACCUCUCAGCUGGACAGUAAGGGACGUUUACAGCACACACUGACAACAUGCUGGGGACCCUGUGCACUCUCAUCACUGCUCUAACAUGUGUGAGUGCUGUGACGCUGGUGACACAGAAGCCUCCUGUUGUGACUCUGAGGAGAGGAGAGACAGCCACCAUGGACUGUAACCUGGAGACUGUGACUGAUAGUACUGCUCGUUGGUACAAACAGAUUCCAGGAGGAGUUCCUCAGUAUAUUCUCAGGAACUAUCACACCUGGAGCUCUCCAAGCUAUGGCUCUGGUUUCUCCUCUCCAAAGUUCACAUCCACUCAUCAGUCACAAUCAGAUUAUCGUUUGAUCAUCAGCACUGUGGAGGAGAGAGACUCAGCAGUUUAUUACUGUCAGACAUUUGACAGCUCUGUUGAUGAGAACGUAUCACAGUGAUUUACACCGUGACAAAAACCUCCUCACUGAACACUUCUGCUUUUUCACUCUCUGACACAUUAACUAAAGCCCCCUGUAACUACCAACCAGUGUCCUCAGUGUAUUCUUGAUAGACCACUUUGAUGUAAAAAAAAAAAACACUAACCAUUUAUUUAUCAUCAGUAAACAUGAAGACAUAACAUA